rnacentral:lncRNA from 1 species
CCCGUACUUUCGCAAGGUGUUGAACACUUCUUCAAGAUCUGAAAUAUGUUGGUCCACCUGUUUGCUCUUCACCACCAUGUCAUCAACGUACGCCUCCACAUUCCUUCCAAUCAAGUUAGCAAAGACUUUGUUGAUGAGUCUUUGGUAUGUUGCCCCUGCAUUCUUCAAACCGAAAGGCAUGACCUUAUAACAGUAUAUGGCGGAAUCGGCCAUGAAUGAUGUCUUUUCUUGAUCCUCUUCGGCCAUGAGGAUUUGAUGAUAACCAGAAAAUGCAUCCAAGAAGCUGUACAACUUAUGUCCGGACGUGCUAUUCACCAAGUUGUCAAUCCGUGGUAGGGGAUAACUAUCCUUUGGACAUGCUUUGUUAAGAUCUGUGAAGUCAAUGCAGACCCUCCACUUACCAUUGGCCUUCUUUACUAAAACAACAUUGGCAAGCCAAUCGGGAUAUUGGACCUCCCGAAUGAAUUGAGCGCUGACGAGUUUGUUAAUCUCUUCGCGAAUGACCUCCCGUCGUUCUGGGGCAAACUGCCUUUUCCUCUGCUUUACUGGUCUGGCUCCUGGGCUGAUGUUAAGCCUAUGGACUGCAAUUUUAGGGUCUAUCCCUGACAUAUCCUCAACCUUCCAGGCAAAAACGUCAAUGUUGCGAGAUAAACAACUAACAAGUUCUGUCUUCAGGGUGACGUCAAGAUCCCGACCAAUCGUCACCUUCUUAUCAUGCUCGAGCUCAAUUUCCAUCAAUUCUUCGACAGGAGCAAGUCUGACUUGUUGCCC